rnacentral:lncRNA from 9 species
AAACCAACCAAAUUCUUUUUCUACAAUAGCAUUUAUCUUUUUUUGUUUUUAUUUUAUUGAUUACUCCUGUUCUUUCAAGGAUAUAACAUUCUCUGCCCUGAAAUCAUUUGAGUUUCAAACUCAGUAUGAAUCUGUCCACCAGAACUUGACUAAUACUUGGUUUUUAUUGCAAACAAACUUGUUGGGCUUUUAUUUUCCACAUUAAUUUUCUCAAGUACCAAUCCUCAUGCUAUCUCUCCUAUAACAGGUGGCUAAAUGCAUUGUCACUCCUGCUGCAAAAAGCCCAGGAGAAUGUCUAAACCAGGUUUUCACAAAGGAAAAUAUAUAAAGGCUCAGCCAAAAACCUUCCCCUUCCCAUCACCACCAGCAUCUUACAGAACUGAAAAUCAGAGCAAGAGGGUGAGAAGAGACAAAUUACACAGGACCUGACACAUUUGUGAAGAAUGACAGGUAAAGUGGUCUUCUGUAUUAUUUGGAGGAAGCUUCAUUACAGGAUGGUAAUUAAAAUUAUCCCUUACACUGGUAAAUUAGAAGCAGGGUGUACUAUUUCUCUGAAAUAUUUCAUAGACAACUGAGACUUAUCCCUUCAGUGUUCUCCUGACUAUUUGUACCCUGUUCCCAUAUUCUCUCCUCAUCAGUUUUCCUUCUUGGUUUUUGAAAGAGAGAAGACCAAAUCAUUUUUCCAGACCUAGUUCUUUGUGCUUAGUGUUGCGCUAAAAAGGAUGUGCCAUGAGACUGUACAUUUGAAGGACACGGGAGGCUCACUGUGUAACCUAUGCAUCAUGUGAAGGAUGUAUAAAAUAAAAGGCUAUUUAUAGAUUAUGAUCUAAACUCUCAUCACGUUCUUUUCUUUGCUAGAGAAUCCCACUUGGAUUUCUCUCGUUUCUCCCUUCCUUGCUAAUUGAAUCUUCCUUUUUAAUGUUUCUUUCCUUUGUCUUUGCUUUGCUUUCUUUGAAGAGAAAGUUUUUUAAUUCUCAUUUUAUCAUUUUUCAUCUUGUUUUCUAUUGAAUUGAUGGUCUGUUGUUUUGUACGUCAC